rnacentral:rRNA from 1 species
UAGGGAAUCUUCCACAAUGGACGCAAGUCUGAUGGAGCAACGGCCGCGUGAGUGAAGAAGGUUUUCGGACCGUAAAGCUCUGUUGUUGGUGAAGAAGGAUAGAGGUAGUAACUGGCCUUUAUUUGACGGUAAUCAACCAGAAAGUCACGGCUAACUACGUGCCAGCAGCCGCGGUAAUCGUAGGUGGCAAGCGUUGUCCGGAUUUAUUGGGCGUAAAGCGAGCGCAGGCGGAAGAAUAAGUCUGAUGUGAAAGCCCUCGGCUUAACCGAGGAAUUGCAUCGGAAACUGUUUUUCUUGAGUGCAGAAGAGGAGAGUAGAACUCCAUGUGUAGCGGUGGAAUGCGUAGAUAUAUGGAAGAAUACCAGUGGCGAAGGCGGCUGUCUGGUCUGCAACUGACGCUGAGGCUCGAAAGCAUGGGUAGCGAACAGGAUUAGAUACCCUGGUAGUCCAUGCCGUAAACGAUGAGUGCUAAGUGUUGGGA